rnacentral:ncRNA from 1 species
UCUUGGAUUUAUGAAAGACGAACAACUGCGAAAGCAUUUGCCAAGGAUGUUUUCAUUAAUCAAGAACGAAAGUUGGGGGCUCGAAGACGAUCAGAUACCGUCCUAGUCUCAACCAUAAACGAUGCCGACCAGGGAUCGGCGGAGUUUGCUUAUAGGACUCCGCCGGCACCUUAUGAGAAAUCAAAGUCUUUGGGUUCCGGGGGGAGUAUGGUCGCAAGGCUGAAACUUAAAGGAAUUGACGGAAGGGCACCACCAGGCGUGGAGCCUGCGG